rnacentral:rRNA from 1 species
CCUACGGGUGGCUGCAGCAACGAAUAUUCCGCAAUGGGCGAAAGCCUGACGGAGCGACGCCGCGUGCAGGAUGAAGUCCCUCGGGAUGUAAACUGCUGUCAGGGAUUCGGAAGCACUGACCAAUCCCAAAGGAAGCCUCGGCUAACUCUGUGCCAGCAGCCGCGGUAAUACAGAGGAGGCAAGCGUUGUUCGGAAUCACUGGGCUUAAAGCGCGUGUAGGCGGGAUGCAAGGUACUUUGUGAAAUCCCCCGGCUCAACCGGGGAAUGGCUUGGUAAACCGGCAUUCUUGAGGCAUUCAGAGGCAGGCGGAACCAUGGGUGGAGCGGUGAAAUGCGUAGAGAUCCAUGGGAACACCGGUGGCGAAAGCGGCCUGCUGGGAAUGCUCUGACGCUGAGACGCGAAAGCGUGGGUAGCAAACAGGAUUAGAUACCCGAGUAGUC